rnacentral:rRNA from 1 species
UACGUAGGGUGCGAGCGUUGUCCGGAAUUAUUGGGCGUAAAGAGCUCGUAGGCGGUGUGUCGCGUCGGCCGUGAAAACCUGGGGCUUAACUCUGGGCGUGCGGUCGAUACGGGCACCACUGGAGUUCGGCAGGGGAGACUGGAAUUCCUGGUGUAGCGGUGAAAUGCGCAGAUAUCAGGAGGAACACCGGUGGCGAAGGCGGGUCUCUGGGCCGAUACUGACGCUGAGGAGCGAAAGCAUGGGUAGCGAACAGG